rnacentral:rRNA from 1 species
GAGGAAUAUUGGUCAAUGGACGUAAGUCUGAACCAGCCAAGUAGCGUGCAGGAUGACGGCCCUAUGGGUUGUAAACUGCUUUUUUAUGGGAAUAAAGUGAGGGACGUGUCCCUUUUUGCAGGUACCAUACGAAUAAGGACCGGCUAAUUCCGUGCCAGCAGCCGCGGUAAUACGGAAGGUUCAGGCGUUAUCCGGAUUUAUUGGGUUUAAAGGGAGCGUAGGCCGGAGAUUAAGUGUGUUGUGAAAUGUAGACGCUCAACGUCUGACUUGCAGCGCAUACUGGUUUCCUUGAGUACGCACAACGUUGGCGGAAUUCGUCGUGUAGCGGCGAAAUGCUUAGAUAUGACGAAGAACUCCGAUUGCGAAGGCAGCUGACGGGAGCGCAACUGACGCUUAAGCUCGAAGGUGCGGGUAUCAAACAGGAUUAGAUACCCUGGUAGUCCGCACAGUAAACGAUGGAUGCCCGCUGUUGGUACCUGGUAUCAGCGGCUAAGCGAAAGCAUUAAGCAUCCCACCUGGGGAGUACGCCGGCAACGGUG